rnacentral:rRNA from 1 species
UACGUAGGGGGCGAGCGUUAUCCGGAAUUACUGGGUGUAAGGGGAGCGUAGACGGCGAAGUAAGCCUGAAGUGGAAGCCCGCGGCCCAACCGCGGAACUGCUUUGGGAACUGCUUAGCUGGAGUAUGGGAGGGGUAAGCGGAAUUCCUGGUGUAGCGGUGAAAUGCGUAGAUAUCAGGAGGAACACCGGUGGCGAAAGCGGCUCUCUGGCCUGUAACUGACACUGAGGCUCGAAAGCGUGGGGAGCAAACAGG